GAUUGACUUCCAUCAACCACCACCCUUUGGGUCUGACCACAGAGCCAAUUUCCCAGCCAGCGGAUCGUGGUGGACCCAAGGCCACAACUGGUCAGUUUUGCCAAAAGGUGAUUGUGGGACACCAGAUCAAAGGCUUUUUUUGAAGUCAAGAUAUAUGACAUCAAUCUCCAACAAGACCAACAAGACUUUUGCAAAAAAACCAACUUUCUUUCAUUGCAAGCUUUCUGGCACAAACGCCCUUUCCCAGGCGUCAGAGAAAAGAUUGUAAAAGUUUUCCUGGGUAGAAAUGAGAGUUUUCAUAGGAUUUCACAGAGGAGUCAAUAGAUGGAAAACUCCUCUGGGCAGACAGUUCAGAGCUGGUGUGGAGCCUCUAUCGCCUGUGAGCAUCCGUGAUGAUGCAAGUUACCUUGAGACAAAGGCAGGAGCAGGAUCUCAGGUUUCAGGUGGUCACAGUUGCUUUCUGCUUGGGAAAAUAUGAAGAUUUCAUUUUUAAAAAUCAGCUAAAAUUUGAUAUCUUCCAUGCGUCAGGUGUCUAGGUUGUAGCUGUAUUGGUCGGGAGGAAAAGGCAAUCAGGGCUUAUAGUAGGGAUGAGAUCUUUUAUGAGACCAACAAGAAUUUUGCAAAAAAACCCAACUUUCUUGAAUGGCAAGCUUUGGGGCGCAAACAAAGUGGAGGAGGGGAGGAGAGAAAAGAUGGGGGAAACAGGAAUGUAGGAGGUCAUGUCAGGCAGGUACCAUGUGAAUCAGAUGUCCGGCAGGUUGUAAUAUGUCAUGUCAUAAAUCCAAUAUCUAUAUUGAGUCUGUGUUUUUUGAUUGUUUUAUGGCCAGGGGAAUAGCUGGGGUCACUGGGACCUUUGGGAGGGAGAGUCAAGCGCCAAGCUGAAGGUUUGUUGUUAGGGGUCACCCACACACACUUGGGUUGUGGGUGCUCGGGUGUGUUCUGGUUUUCUUUUGCCCUGUAACUUGUUUGUAUAUUCUGCUUGCUCUAGGACUGGAGAGAACCACCUCCCAUCCCUGCUUAUUGUGUCCAGACCCUUUGUCUUCAGCUUCCCUCCAAAGAACCGGUGCAGCCAGUUUGGUGACUCCUGCCCCUCCCCUGGGGGUUGCCGGCCACCUUUGAAACGCCCUGGUCUGCAUUAGCAGUGUUCAAGUGACGCCUGCUCUGGUGGGGACAAAGUGGUGAGGUCAGAAAAGAAUCAGGACUCAUGGUGGCGCGGGCUCCCUCCUGGGGAGAGAGCUGGGAAGAGCUGUGCAAGCAAGUCCGCAAAGAGCCUCUGUGCUGGCUCCUGUUCUGCACAGAUGAAGUGAAGGAGGCUGGAUGAAUGGCCACAGGAUUUAAACUGGAUCUGAUAGCUCCCUUUACUCUGUGCAACUGCUUUGGAAGCUGGAACAGCUGCAUUAUUUUUCUUUUUGAAGAUCUUACACAUUAAAUGAAUGGUAAGGUCAGCUCCCAGAGUGCUACACCUGGCAACACAGUAUGGGGAGGAGGUGAGCGGCCAACAGUGGCUAUUUAGAAAAGCUGGACAUAUACAAGUCCACGGGGCUGGAUGGGAUGCACCUGAAGGUACAUGAGGGAGUUGGCUGAUUUGAUUGCAGAGCUGAUGGCCAUCAUCUUUGAAAACUCAUGGCUGCUGGGAAAGGUCCCAGGUGAUUGGAAAAGGGCAAACAUAGCACCCAUAUUUAAGAAGGGGAAAAAGGAGGAUUCAGGAAACUACAGACCAGUCUGCCUCACCUCAGUCUCUGGAAAAAUCAUGGAGCAGAUCCUCAAGAAAUCCAUUUCUAAGCACUUGAAGAAGAAGAAGGUGAUUAGGAGCAGUCAGCAUGGUUUCACCAAGGGCAAAUCAUGCCUGACCAACCUGAUUGCUUUCUCUGAUGAAGUGACUGGCUCUAUGGAUGUGGGGAGACCAGUGGAUAUGCUAUACCUUGAUUUUAGCAAGGUUUUUGAUAUGGUCUCCCACAGCAUUCUCGCAGGUAAGCUAAGGAAGUACAGGCUGGAUGAAUAGACUGUAAGAUGGACAGAAAGCUGGCUGGAGCAUCAGGCUCAGAGGGUAGUAAUGUCAAUGUCUAGUUGGCAGCUGGUAUCAAGUGGAGUGCUUUGGGGGUCAGUCCUGGGGUUGAUUUUGUUCAAUGCCUUUAUCAACAACCAGGAAAAUGGCAUAGAGUGCACCCUCAGCAAAUCUGCAGGGAACACUAAGCUGGGGGGUGUAGUAGAUACGCUGGAGGGUAGGGCUGAGAUUCAGAGUGACCUAGACAAAUUGGAGGAUUGCCAGAAGAAAUCUCAUGAGAUUCAACAAGGACAAGUGCAAAGUCCUGCAUUUAGGAUGGAACAAUCUCAUGCACUAGGACAGGCUGGGGGCUGACGGGCUGGGCAGCAGCUCUGCAGAAAAGGCCCUGGGGGUCACAGUGCACAGUGAACUGAAGAUGACCCAACAGUGUGUCCUUGUUGCUAAGAAAGCUAACGGCAUCCUGGGCUGCAUUGGUAGGUGUGUUGUCAGCAGGUCAAGGGAAGUGAUUCUUCCCCUCUACUCUUCCAUCUACCUUCCAUCCAGGAAGAGCACACACCAACUGCUGAAACUUCCUUAGCCUGACAAAGGGUUUUUGAACCCGAAAGCUUGCUUAAUAACUAUUCUCCAACUAUUUGGGUUGGUCUAAUAAAAGAUAUCAGAUUCA